UUUUGCACCUUGUUUAGAAAUAAUCUGAACAUCAAACAUUCCUCGCAGGUUCUAAACCAACAUUACACUCAGCAGCGAGACGUCGAGACAGAGAGAGCAAAGAGUGGGGGAAUGGACUAAGAAUGGCGGAUGAGAAUACCUAUAUGGCUGAUGGCAGAGAACGAGACGUAAGCGCUUACGUUUACCGUAAACGUAGACGUAGACGUUAAGGCAGAGAAAAACGUAUACGUAUCUAAUAACUUUUCACGGAUACGUGUAACCUCUUACGUUUAUGAUAAACGUAAGCGCUUACAUCUCAUUUUCUGCCAUCAGCCUAUCUCUAGUGCCUCAGGACGGCUACUGUUCUUUCCCCUCUUGGUAGUCAAUAGCUUGGUAGUAAAUAGCUAUAAAAGGCCAUAAAUGGGAAAUGAAGCCUAUUCAUACAGAAAAACACACAAUUUCAGUUGUUUAAAGAAAUGAAAAAUAUGCUUUUACACAUAUAAAAUUCAAAAGUAAUUUUA